CUACAUUUUCUUUUUUGAGUAUGUGGAGCACUGUUAAAAAUGUUUCAUAGCGUUAAUUCUGUGGCUGUGAGGGGAAUUCCUUACUAUAAAUAUAACAAAUGUUCGCUGUCGAACCUGCACCUUCUCUAUGAUUUAAGUUACACAUUUUCAAAUUAAAUGUUGUACCCAGAAACUCAAUCAGUCUGAUGCAAAAUUUAUGUUAAAAUCCCCACUUAAAAUUAUCGGAAUUUUAUAAUAAUUACUUUUGAGAACUCGCGAUACCUUUGGAGUAUAUUUGAUCAAAUUUUCAUGUAUAAAUUUAAUUAUGCUGUUCACAGUUAAAUGUUAUCUAGCAUGUUAAAUUUCCCAGGUGGCAAUAUUCGCAUAUUUACUGACGUGGUAUAUAUUUUUUUUUUUUGUACGUGAAAAACAGUUUUUUAACAAUUUGUUUAUUAAUUGUGGCAAACUGGCAUCUCUGAUCAGCUGACUUUAUUUACAUUUGAAAAUGGAAUCUGAUGAAAGCGAAAUUACCAAACCAAAACAUAUACGCAAAGUACCGUACAAGAAAUGGAGCAAUGAGGAGCAACAGAAAUUAAUUACAUACAUGCGACAACCGUCCGCUUGAAAAGCCGACAGCACAGGUGUAUUAUAAAAAAAUUUUAAAGACACAAAAUCUGCGGUUGGAUUGGUAUUUAGUGAGGCUAAAGGCAAAGUACUUGUGAUAAUUCUAUACUUAACAGAAUUCGACGGGAGCAGGGCGAAUCAACAGAAAGUAUAAUUUUGAGAACUUGUAAUUUUWUCUACGAUUUGGAAGAUAUAUAAUGUUUGGCUAUAAAGAGUUUCAAUCCAAUGCAUUUGUUUUGGAUACAGAAGUCUUAGAAAACAACUCGACGUCCACCACAGAUGAUCUCGACGCCGGUUCAACGACCUCUGCUACCACACCUGCAGAUAUUUUGCAAGAAGUCGGUCCAGAAUCUACAUGCAACAUAAUAAAUCGGAAGGGUAUUUAUUUUUCAUUUAUUUGCGGGCAGGUCUUGCCRAUGUGCUUACUAUGCACACAGGUUUAAUUAAGGUGAAGCAACAAAAGUUAGUGAUAGAAUCAAAAAUUAAAGAUAGGGAGCUACCUUUAAAAGAAAAGGAAUUUGAUUUACAAUACGAAAAAUUUGUAUUUGAAAGAGAAUACAGUUCAGAAGAGAGAAUAAGAACACUAGAAAUUAAAAUGAAAAAAAUAAAAAAUUGGCUUUAAGAGAGCUUGAAAUGAAGGAGCGAAUAGCAAUGGAGGAAUUAAAAAUUAAAA